UUUUACAGGUCAGUACCAUUCCAGAUAGGAUGCAAGUUACUCCUGUCUCUGUAGAGUGGAAAGAAAAGACAGAGAAACAGUGAUACACUCUAGAAGCUUCUUUACAAUGAAAUUUAGCAGUUAAAAAACUGAGUAAAAUGCAUAAUUUAAGUUUCACUGCUGCUGGCUUCAGAAAAAAAAAAAAUAAAAAAAAUUGCUUUUUCGUUGGCAUCCUGCCUUGACUGAUGAGAUGUCAGCAGCACCUAAGAAGGAGAAAAUCCAUAUGCCAAAGACGACUGUGGGCUCAAUUUCCUACAGAGGAAGAGUGUUGGAUGAAGCAUAGAAACAGCUAAAGAAGUGUCCUUUCCUCUUAAGAAUGGUGUGAAACGGAGCCCUCAACUGGUCCUCAGUGAAAGCUGGAUUACUUGUGAAGAAUCUUAGAGACUACAUCCAGCCUCCUGCCCUGCUGGAGAUACUCAAACCCAGACCUCACCUCUCCCCAAGAUGAGAGGCCCAGCCACUAGGAUGCUGGCUACAGGAGACGGAGUGGGCUGUGAGGGGGCAGAGAGCAUCUGUCUCUCUGACUGAAGCUGUUUCACCAUGCGGAAAACCUUCAAAAUUCAAGAUCAAAGAGGGACCAAGAGGACAUGACUGCUUCAUCCAGCUGUUUGCAGUCACCUGACAGAAGGAAAUCUGUGUACCCUUCCUGCUCCAACAUGUAUCUACAAGCUUCUGUAUGCGUAAAGCACUAAAUAAAAUAGUAAUAAUAAAAA